CGGCGAGUGAAGCGGCAAAAGCUCAAAUUUGAAAUCUGGCACUUUCAGUGUCCGAGUUGUAAUUUGAAGAAGGUAUCUUUGGGUCUGGCUCUUGUCUAUGUUUCUUGGAACAGAACGUCACAGAGGGUGAGAAUCCCGUGCGAUGAGAUGUCCCAGACCUAUGUAAAGUUCCUUCGAAGAGUCGAGUUGUUUGGGAAUGCAGCUCUAAGUGGGUGGUAAAUUCCAUCUAAAGCUAAAUAUUGGCGAGAGACCGAUAGCGAACAAGUACAGUGAUGGAAAGAUGAAAAGAACUUUGAAAAGAGAGUGAAAAAGUACGUGAAAUUGUUGAAAGGGAAGGGCUUGAGAUCAGACUUGGUAUUUUGUAUGUUACUCUCUCGGGGGUGGCCUCUACAGUUUACCGGGCCAGCAUCAGUUUGAGCGGUAGGAUAAGUGCAAAGAAAUGUGGCACUGCUUCGGUAGUGUGUUAUAGUCUUUGUCGAUACUGCCAGCUUAGACUGAGGACUGCGGCUUCGGCCUAGGAUGUUGGCAUAAUGAUCUUAAGUCGCCCGUCUUGAAACACGGACC
rnacentral:rRNA from 1 species